UUGACGGGGGCCCGCACAAGCGGUGGAUUAUGUGGAUUAAUUCGAUGCAACGCGAAGAACCUUACUACCCUUGACAUGUCCGGAACUUGCCAGAGAUGGCUUGGUGCCCGAAAGGGAAUCGGAACACAGGUGCUGCAUGGCUGUCGUCAGCUCGUGUCGUGAGAUGUUGGGUUAAGUCCCGCAACGAGCGCAACCCUUAUCAUUAGUUGCUACGCAAGGGCACUCUAAUGAGACUGCCGGUGACAAACCGGAGGAAGUGGGGAUGACGUCAAGUCCUCAUGGCCCUUAUGGGUAGGGCUUCACACGUCAUACAAUGGUCGGUACAGAGGGUUGCCAAGCCGCGAGGCGGAGCCAAUCCCACAAAGCCGAUCGUAGUCCGGAUUGUUCUCUGCAACUCGAGAGCAUGAAGUCGGAAUCGCUAGUAAUCGCAGGUCAGCAUACUGCGGUGAAUACGUUCCCGGGUCUU
rnacentral:rRNA from 1 species